rnacentral:rRNA from 1 species
UACGAGGGAUGGAGACGUUGUUCGGAAUUACUGGGCGUAAAGCGCACGUAGGCGGACCAGCAAGUUAGGGGUGAAAUCCCGGGGCUCAACCCCGGAACUGCCUUUAAAACUGUUGGUCUGGAGGUCGAGAGAGGUGAGUGGAAUUCCGAGUGUAGAGGUGAAAUUCGUAGAUAUUCGGAGGAACACCAGUGGCGAAAGGCGGCUCACUGGCUCGAUACUGACGCUGAGGUGCGAAAGCGUGGGGAGGCAAACAGGA